rnacentral:tRNA from 1 species
GGAGAGGUGGCUGAGUGGUUGAUAGCCCCGGUCUUGAAAACCGGUAUAGUUCCAAAAACUAUCGAGGGUUCGAAUCCCUCUCUCUCCU